UUUGAUACGAGAGUUUGAUCCUGGCUCAGGAUGAACGCUGGCGGCGUGCCUAACACAUGCAAGUCGAACGAAGCACUAUAGUUGGAUUCUUCGGAAAAAGAGUAUAGUGACUGAGUGGCGGACGGGUGAGUAACGCGUGGGCAACCUGCCCCAUACAGGG
rnacentral:rRNA from 1 species